AUGUGUUUGGUACAUUACUCACAUGUUUGCCUGAAGAAGCUGCUGUUCCUUUGGAAACAUGUCUUACUUGUUUUCUGAUAUGAUAAAUGGGAGUGAGAAAAUUGUUUUGAAACACCAGCAAAAAAGACUAGAUUGUCAUUCAGUCCUGACCCCAUACAGUGUCUCUGCAGAUGAAGAUAGAUCAGGCCAAUCCAGAAACAAGAAAAGGGACAAUUUUUAGCACGUUCAUCUAUGGAGACAUGUAUCUAAAAAAGCAGAUUUUUUUCAGUUUUAGUAGAACUUGUUGAACUUUUACUAUUUUUAAACUGUUUAUUUUACAUUUAUAUGUUGAUAUUUUGUUUUUUAAAAUUGCUGUAUUUCUUUCAUCUUGCUAUUCAGUCCCACAUAACAAAAUAUG